GGUGCUGUGGCGAAGUGGGUUAACGCCCUGGCCUGAGGCACUGGCAUCCCAUGUGGGCACUGGUUCUAGUCCCGUCUGCUCCU
rnacentral:tRNA from 1 species